GAGACCUCUCCUCAUCUGUGCAUGGACGGAUGACCAACUCUGGGGCCCAGGCUGUUGCUUCCCAGUAUAAUGAUGAAUCCGCCAUAGUCUGGUGAGUGUAGAGGCUGACUCUGGAGCCCAGGCUGUACCUUCUCGGUCUGGUGAUGAAUCCUCAAUCGUGUGUUUUCUCUGUGUAGGACGUGAGACUUUACGACCUGCUAAAAAUGAGCUUUCCUAAUAAUGUGGGACCUAUUCAUCUAAGAAUAAAUCAUCCGCUCCGUGACAGAUCAGACAGAACCUGAGACCAGAAACUCAUUUUCUUCUAAAAUGCUUUCUCUGAAAGAUUUUAAAAAGAAAAGGGGGAAAUGUAAAAGGAAAAUACAUCUUGAGACCCCCAAAUCACUAAGCCAAAGAAAGAGGUUAAGCUGAGAACUGCUUAGGGAAAAUCUUCCUUCCAUUCUAUUCCUAAAAACGAUAGCUCGUAAGAUUAAAAAAGCUACAUACCUGCCUCACAAGAAAUUUCCUUGCAGACAAAGGGCAUGCAGAACUCAAAGUCAUUCCUCUGCUCACUGAGAUAGAUAUGUAUUGAUUGUCUCCACUGGAAAGGCUAAUCAGAAACUCAAAAGAAUAACAUCGAAGGUGCCACUCCUGAGGAAAUCUCAACUGCACGACCCCUACUACGCCCCAAUUCAGCAGGAAGCAGUUAGAGCGGUCGUGGGCCAACCUCCCCCAACAGCACUUGGGUUUUCCUGUUGAGAGGGGGACUGAAAGGCAGGACUAGCUGGAUUUCCUAGGCCGACUAAGAAUCCCUAAGCCUAGCCGGGAAGGUGACCGCCUCCACCUUUAAAACACAGGGCUUGCAACUUAGCUCACACUUGACCAAUCAGGUAGUAAAGAGAGCUCACUAAAACGCUAAUUAGGCUAAAACAGGAGGUAAAGAAAUAGCCAAUCAUCUAUUGCCUGAGAGCACAGGGGGAGGGACAAUGAUUGGGAUAUAAACCCAGGCAUUCAAGCUGGCAAGGGCAACCCCCUUUGGGUCCCCUCCCAUUUUAUGGGAGCUCUGUUUUCACUCUAUUAAAUCUUGCAACUGCGAAAAAAAAAAAAAAGAAUGCAACGGUUUGCCUUUUAUCUGCCUAUGACCUGGAAGCCCCCUCCCUGCUUUGAGUUGUCCUGCCUUUCAGGACUGAACCAAUGUACAUCUUACACAUAUUGAUUGAUGUCUCAUGUCUCUCUAAAAUGUAUAAACCAAGCCAUGCCCCGACCACCUUGGGCACAUGUCACCAGGGCCUCCUGAGGCUAUGUUACAGGCACAUGUCCUUAACUUUGGGAAAAUAAACUUUCUAAAUUGACUGGGAUCUUUCUCAGAUAUUUGGAACUCACUCUACACAGACACACAGACACACACACAAACACACUCACAAACAUGCACACACAAAUACACAUAUAUGUAUAUUUGUGUUAUAAACGUAUUAGUCCUUUUUCUGUAAUACAGAUUUUAAGUAAACUCCAGUGCUUCAUUUGUCUUUUUACUUUGCUUAUCGUUCUUUUUUUCUUUUAAGUUUUAAAACACUUUAGGGAAUAGGAAGAGCAAGAUGACUAAAAAAAUCUCUCCAAUGAUAACCCUACCACAGGAACACCGAAUUGAAUAACUAUACAUGCAAGAAAGAACUUCCAUAAAAACCAAAAAAAAAUAAGCAAUCACAGUACCUGAUUAUAACAUCAUAUCAAGAAAAGAAGCACUGAAGAGGGUAGCCAGGGUAGUCUUGCAUUGCCUACAUCAUCCCUCCUCCAUCCCCCAGCAGUACAAAGAGAGAUAAUGUAUGUGCUUGUGGGAGGGGGAGUCAAGGACUUUGGUAUUUGUAUUGGAAUUCAGUGCUACCUUGUCCCAGUGGAACACAACACAGGGCAGAAUUUAGCCAGUGCCAACAGAGGAGGCAUUUAGACUAACCCCAGUCAAAAGGUAAUCUUUUACUCCAGCAGUGGGAACCUGAGCUCUGGCUAGCUCCAUCAAUGCCUGAUUAAUGUAGCCUGGGGUCCUGGAUAAACUUGAAAGACAGUCAGGCUCAAGGCUUGCAGUCCUUGGGUAAGUCCUGUUGCUUUGCUGAGCUUGGAGACAGUGGUAUUGAGAUACCCACAGCUCAGUGAGACAAAAGCUGGAGUGGCCAAGGGAAUGCUUGCAUCAGCUCUUCUCCAACUCCAGGAAGCACAACUCAUAGCUCCAGGAGAGACUCCUUCCACUUGCAGAAAGGAAAAGGAAGAGUAAAAAGAACUUUGUCCUGUGACUUAGAUACACUUUCAGCCACAGUUUAAAAAUAACAAUAAUAAAAAAAUAAAAGCAUAAAGCAGAGUCCUGAGACCUCCAAUUCCAGACCCUAGGUCUUGGAUGACAUUUCUAAACCCACCCUGGGCUAGAAGGGAACCCACUAACCUGAAGUGAAAAACCAAGCCUUGGCAGGAUGCAACACAUGCUGACUAAAGGGACCUUGAUAGGGCUACAUGAGUGGUAGCCAGGCAGUAGUCACCAUGGGCCUUGGACUAGACCCAUUACCGUGCUGGCUUCAAGUGUGACCCAGCAUAGUCCCAACUUUGGUGGCCCUGGAAGUGUUUGCAUCAUCCCUCCCCCAAUUUCAGUCAGCCCAGCACAGAGAGACAAACACUUGUUUGGGGAAAAGUGAGAGAAGAGGAUGAGAGACUCCCUGGUAUUCCAGGAAAUGCUCCCAGAUCUUAUUCAAGUCCACCCAUGAUAUACCUCUGCAAGUAUGCAAAUAUGGCAUCACUACUGGACUUGUGGCACUCCCUAGUGCAGAUAUAGCUGCAGUAACCAAAGACUUAAGUUGCAACUCUAGAUAUGGGAAAGUCUUCUCGAGAAGUAUAAAUCCAAACAAGAAAGAACUGCAAAGAUUAGAAUACCUAAACUCUUCAGCGCCCAAACAUCAUGAACAUCAACAAGCAUCAAGAAUAUACAAGAAAACAUGACCUGACCAAAUGAACAAAAUAAGGCACCACUGACCAAUCCUGGAGUGAGAGACAUAUGUGACUUUUCAAAAGAGAACUCAAAAUAGGUUUUUUUGAGGAAGCUUAACCAAUUUCACAGUAACACAAAUAAGGAAUUUAGAAUUCUAUUAGAAAACAUUUACAAAGAGAUUGAAAUAAUAGAAAAAUCAAGUAGAUAUUUAGAAGUUUAAAAAUUCAAUUAACAAAAUGAAAACAUGCAUCAGAGUAUUUUAAUAGCAGAAAUUAUUAGGCUGAAAAAAAAUAGUGAACUUGGAGAUCGGCUACUGAAAAUGCACAGUAAGAGAAAGCAAAAGAAAAAAGGAUGAAAAAGAAUGAAGUAAACCAACAAGAUCUAGAAAAAGGCCUCAAAAAAAUCUAAUCAUUACUGGUCUAAAAGAGGAGGUAUAGCAAGAGGUUGGGGUAAAAGUCUAUUCAAAGAAAUAAUAACAGUGAACUUUUGAAACCUAAAGAAAGUUAUCAAUAUUCAAGUUUAAGAAAGUAAUAGAACACCAAGUGGAUUUAACACAUUAAGACUACUUCAAGACAUUCAAUAAUCAAACUCCCAAAACAAAAAGAUAAAGAAAGAAUCCUAAAUGCAGCAAGAAAAAACAAGCAAAUAACAUACAAAGGAGUGUCAGUAUCCAGUGAAAAUACCUUUAAAACAUAAAGGAGGCCAGGCACGGUGGCUCAUGCCUGUAAUCCCAGCACAUUAGCAGGCUGAGGCAGGUGGAUGCACGACGUCAGGAGUUUGAGACCAGCCCGGCCAACAUGGUGAAACCCCGUCUCUAGUAAAAAUACAAAAAUUAUCUGAGUGUUGUGGCGUGCACCUGUAACCCCAGCUGCUUGAGAGGCUGAGGCAAGAGAAUUGCUUGAACCCAGGAGUCAGAGGUUGUAGUGAGCCGAGAUCGGAGAUCGUGCCAUUGCACUCCAGCUGGGGUGACAGAGCAAGACUCUUUCACAAAAAAAAAAAAAAAAAAAAAAAAACACACACACGCACACACAUAAAGGAGAAAUAUUUUCCCAAUGAGCGUUAAGAAAUUUGGAAAACACCAGACCUGUCAUUCAAGAAAUGUAAAAGGAAGUUCUUGAUUCUAAAAAGAAAGAAUGUUAAUGAGCAAUAAGAAAUUAUCUAAAGGUAAAAACUCACAGGUAACAGUGAGUACACAAAGAAUAUUCUGACAAUGUAUUCGCUGUGUGUAAACCAUUCAUAUCUUGAGUAGUAAGACUAAAAGACAAACUUAUUUAAAAUAAUAACUAAAAUACUUUUUAAGGUGUAGAUACUGCAAAGGACAUGAACUCAUUCUUUUUUAUAGCUGCAUAGUAUUCCAUGAUGUAUAUGUACCACAUUUUCUUUAUGCAGUCUAACAUUGAUGGGCAUUUGGGUUGGUUCCAAGUCUUUGUUAUUGUGAAUAGUGCUUCAAUAAACAUGCGUGCAUGUGUCUUUAUAGUUGAAUGAUUUAUAAUCCUUUGGGUAUAUACCCUGUAAUGGCAUUGCUGAGUCAAAUGGUAUUUCUGGUUCUGGAUUCUUGAGUAAUCAACACACUGUCUUCUACAGUGGUUGAAUUAAUUUACACUCCCACCCACAGUAUAAAAGCGGAUACAUUACUAGACAUACACAACUUACCAAAAAAAAAAAAAAAUAGUAAAAGCAUUUCUAUUUCUCCACAUCCUCUCCAGCGUCUGUUGUUUCCUGACUUUUUAGUGAUUGCCAUUCUAACUGGCAUGAGAUGGUAUCUAAUUGUGGUUUGAUUUACAUUUCUCUAAUGACCAGUGAUGAUGAGCUUUUUUUCAUAUGUUUGUUGGCUGCAUAAAUGUCUUCUUUUGAAAAGUGUCUGUUUAUAUCCUUCGCCCACUUUUUGAUAAGGUUGUUUGCUUUUUUCUUGUAAAUUUGUUUAAGUUUCUUGUAAAUUCUGGAUAUUAGCCCUUUAUCAGAUGGAUAGAUUGCAAAAAUUUUCUCCCAUUCUGUAGGCUGCCUGUUCACUCUGAUGAUAGCUCCUUUUGCUGUGCCAAAGCACUUCAUUCUCAGCAAACUAACACAGGAAUAGAAAACCAAACACCACAUGUUCUCACUCAUAAGUGGAAGUUGAACAAUGAGAACAUAUGGGCAGAGGGAGG
rnacentral:lncRNA from 1 species